UUACGUUAAAUUAAAGAAGUAUCUUUCUUUCUUUUGAUUUUUUCUUUCAGAAUAUUCAAACAAUGAUUUUUACUCUUUGCUGAACACAAAAAUAAUUAUGUAUAUUUUCCAUUAGAAAAUGUAUAUCUUUUAUUCCAGCUGCACCUUUCUUCUAGAGUUUUGAAUGAUUUUAUUUUGGAUAGCUUUUGGAUUUUUAUUGUUGCCGCCAUUUUUUU
rnacentral:lncRNA from 1 species